rnacentral:rRNA from 1 species
CAAUAGCUACUUGCAUCAUUGUAGAUAUGAUGCAAGAUCGACUAUGUCGAAUAAAAUUCUAGGUAGAAUUAUGAUAAUGACAUUGUCUGCCUAUGUGUCUUGACCAAAUUACGUGCCAGCAGUCGCGGUAAUACGUAGAAGACUAGUGUUAUUCAUGUGUAAUCGGUUUAAAGGGUACCUAGACGGUAAAUCAAGCCUAUAAAAAAUAUAAAUGAAGGGACUAAUUUACUAGAGUUACUUAUGAGGGGGUAUUAAAGUACUACUGGUGUAGAGAUGAAAUUCUGUCAUACCAGCAAAACGACGGCACAGGUAUAGGCGAAAGCAUCCCCUUAUGUGAUAACUGACGUUGAGGGACGAAGGCUUUGUGUAGCGACCAGGAUUAGAUACCCCAGUAGUCAAAGCAGAAAAUGAUGAAUGUCAUAGAUUAGAUAUAUAAGUUUAUUCUAUAAAUGAAAGUGUAAGCAUUCCACCUCAAGAGUAAUUUGGCAACAUUGGAACUGAAAUCAUUAGACCGUUUCUGAAACCAGUAGUGAAGUAUGUUGUUUAAUUUGAUGCCCCGCAAAAAACCUUACCACAAUUUGAAUAUUUAUAUCUUUUAUUGUUUUUCUUCUGAUUUUUCUUCUGAUUUUACUUCAGAUGAAGUAAAAGAAAGAAGAAAAAUAAAAAGAGGCAAUA